rnacentral:rRNA from 1 species
ACGAACGCUGGCGGCGUGCUUAACACCUGCAAGUCGAACGGAAAGGCCCUGCUUUUGUGGGGUGCUCGAGUGGCGAACGGGUGAGUAACACGUGAGUAACCUGCCCUUGACUUUGGGAUAACUUCAGGAAACUGGGGCUAAUACCGGAUAGGAGCUCCUGCUGCAUGGUGGGGGUUGGAAAGUUUCGGCGGUUGGGGAUGGACUCGCGGCUUAUCAGCUUGUUGGUAGGGUAGUGGCUUACCAAGGCUUUGACGGGUAGCCGGCCUGAGAGGGUGACCGGCCACAUUGGGACUGAGAUACGGCCCAGACUCCUACGGGAGGCAGCAGUGGGGAAUAUUGCACAAUGGGCGGAAGCCUGAUGCAGCAACGCCGCGUGCGGGAUGACGGCCUUCGGGUUGUAAACCGCUUUCGCCUGUGACGAAGCGUGAGUGACGGUAAUGGGUAAAGAAGCACCGGCUAACUACGU